AAUAAAUCAAUCUUUUACUUUUUACCUAUAAUCUUUGACUCUUCGUUUUAUUUAAAUUUUUUUACGAUUGAUAUUUUUGUUUUUAUUAGAUGAUAAAUUAUGAAUAGUACUUUACGUGUGACUAAUUUUUUCUAAUUUCCUAAAAAUUUUUCAAAUAAGACGGAUGAUCAAACGCUAGGUACAAUAACCGAAG
rnacentral:pre_miRNA from 1 species